rnacentral:rRNA from 2 species
UACGGAGGAUCCAAGCGUUAUCCGGAAUCAUUGGGUUUAAAGGGUCCGUAGGCGGCCUUAUAAGUCAGUGGUGAAAUCUCACGGCUCAACCGUGAAAUGGCCAUUGAUACUGUAGGGCUUGAAUUACCAGGAAGUAACUAGAAUAUGUAGUGUAGCGGUGAAAUGCUUAGAUAUUACAUGGAAUACCGAUUGCGAAGGCAGGUUACUACUGGUGGAUUGACGCUGAUGGACGAAAGCGUGGGUAGCGAACAGG